UUCAAGUCAUCUUCUCAUCACUUUAUCACUUAGAAAAAAAAAAAAAAAAAGAGAGCAACAAGCCAUGGAGGCUCACGGCUUGGACAUGGAAAAAAAUCAAGUCCAAAUUUUGCUUCUCCAAAAUUAAUUCUUUGGUACAAACCCACUAAUUAGAGGUCCCUAAGUAACGUGGAAGUGUCGUUGGAGCGAACAAGCCAUCAAAUUUGUGGAUUUCAAACCCUAGCCUAAUGGUGGAGUAAAGAAGAAAGACCUUGGGGAGCCCGAGGCGUAGAUUGGAAAUUUCUUUAGAUUGGCCAUCUUGGAGUGCAUACGAGGUACAGACGCACAGUUUGGUGAUUCACCAGUUUAGGACAUCCCCUUCUGCUGGUUGGAGUGCUCUUCUCAUUUCAGAGCAUAUAUGUUGGUAUAUAUAUUUGUUCGCUGAGUAUGUACAUAUUUGUUCAGGGGUACGGCGGGGCCCUAUCCCGCCAUAUGUUUUGAUCGGUCUGUUUAGAGGUCUGUAGACGUAUUUGUGGGUGUGUGUGCCUACUUCUGUUCAGAUGUGUUUGUAUGAUUACAUUCUUUAUGGCAGCCUCGUCGGCGCGCAAUUUGUAUAUGUUUAUAGCAGCCUUGCCGGCGUGCAUUUGUAUAUGUGUUUUGGGCCGUUGUGCCAUUUGAUAGCCUUGUCGGCUUUUGACA